GAUGAAGAACGUAGCGAAAUGCGAUAAGUAAUGUGAAUUGCAGAAUUCAGUGAAUCAUCGAAUCUUUGAACGCACGUUGCGCCCGCCAGUAUUCUGGCGGGCAUGCCUGUCUGAGCGUCAUUUCAACCCUCAUGCCCCUAGGGCGUGGUGUUGGGGAUCGGCCAAAGCCCGCGAGGGACGGCCGGCCCCUAAAUCUAGUGGCGGACCCGUCGUGGCCUCCUCUGCGAAGUAGUGAUAUUCCGCAUCGGAGAGCGAUGAGCCCCUGCCGUUAAACCCCCAACUUUCCAAGGUUGACCUCAGAUCAGGUAGGAAUACCCGCUGAACUUAAGCAUAUCAAUAAGCGGAGGA
rnacentral:misc_RNA from 1 species